rnacentral:miRNA from 1 species
UAUUUGGUUGGUGCAAAAGUAAUCAUGGUUUUUGCCAUUUAAAGUACUUUUGCUGUUACUUUAAAUGACAAAAACCGCGAUUACUUUUGCACCAACCAAAUAUUU